rnacentral:lncRNA from 1 species
CAAAACAGUAUGAAUAGCUGACAGUUGUGAAAGAAAUGAAUGGUCGAAUGAAGAGCAAAAGCAAGGAGACGGGGAAAGGCAAUGCAGCAGUCAAGGCAAGAAAUGAAUGUGAACAACUUCGAUGCCUACUGAUUAAUGCUGAAAAACAACUCAAAUGAACCAAUGAACCAAAAGAUAAGCCAAAUCCAGAAACAGCUGUGGCUCAACCCCCAGCAAUGGACUGGAAAUCCAUGAGACAGCUCCGCAGAUAGAGAAUGAAAAGUCUGUUCUUACAUACGUUAUACUCAGAUUAAGAAUGAAGGCCCGGCGCAGUGGCUCACACCAAAAAUCCCAGCACUUUGGGAGGCCAAGGCAGGUGGAUCACAUGAGGUCAGGAGUUCAAGACCAUCCUGGCCAACAUGGUGAAACUCUGUCUCUACUAAAAAUACAAAAAUUAGCUGGGCAUGGUGAUGUGCACCUGUAAUCCAAGCUACUCGGGAGGCUGAGGCAGAAGAAUCGCUUGAACCUGGGUGGCAGAGGUUGCAGUAAGCAGAGAUCGCACCAUUGCACUUCAGCCUGGGCAACAGAGUGAGACUGUCUCAAGAAUAAAUUAAAUAAAUAAAUAAGAAUGGAG